AACGAACGCUGGCGGCAUGCCUAACACAUGCCAGUCGAACGAGACCUUCGGGUCUAGUGGCGCACGGGUGAGUAACGCGUGGGAACCUGCCCUUAGGUUCGGAAUAACUCCCCGAAAGGGGUGCUAAUACCGGAUAAUGUCUUCGGACCAAAGAUUUAUCGCCUUUGGAUGGGCCCGCGUUGGAUUAGCUAGUUGGUAGGGUAAAAGCCUACCAAGGCGACGAUCCAUAGCUGGUCUGAGAGGAUGAUCAGCCACACUGGGACUGAGACACGGCCCAGACUCCUACGGGAGGCAGCAGUGGGGAAUAUUGGACAAUGGGCGAAAGCCUGAUCCAGCAAUGCCGCGUGAGUGAUGAAGGCCUUAGGGUUGUAAAGCUCUUUUACCCGGGAUGAUAAUGACAGUACCGGGAGAAUAAGCUCCGGCUAACUCCGUG
rnacentral:rRNA from 1 species